ACUUCGCCUUGUAGCUUCCUUUCACAGUCUUGUGAAGAGUCUUCGGCAUAACUUUUCUCAUAUUUUUCGAUGCAUUUACGUGUAUGAAGUAUGUUUUUGUAAACAUAUAAUUUGUGUUCUCGUUUUGUAAUGAAUGGAAUUACAUUGUGCAUGCUAUUCUGCAUUUUGCAUUUCUACUCAUUUUAAUGGUGGAAAUCUUAGAGAUCUUUUCACCUUAAUGCAUGUAGAUCUACCUCAUUCUUUUUACACAUACUAUUCCAUAGAAUUUAUGUAGCAUAAUUUUUUAACCAUUCUCCAAUUGAAGGACAUUUAGAUUGUUUUAAAUUGUUCACAUUUAUCAACAAGCUAUAAUAAUGAUUAUAUAUUUCUCUUUUUUUUUGCAUGUAUACAAGUAUUUCUCCUGUGUCUAAACCUUAAAAAGUGGAAUUGUUGAAGCAAAGGGUGCUGUUAUUUACUUGUUUAUAGAUCCUGCCAAAUUGUCUUUUUAGGGGGCUGAACGGAGGUGUUUCACGAGUGGCAAAUGAGAUGAACCAUCUUCCUGCACACAGCCAAAGUCUGCAAAGGUGAUGAAGAAUUGCAUUUUGUUUUAAUUUGUAUUUUCCUGAUAAUGUGGAAAGCUGAACAGCUUUUCAUGUUUCUUGGCCACUGAAAUUUCCUCUUCUAUAAUUUUUUUGUUUAUUUUUUGCCAAUGUGAUUCAGUUGAGUCUUCCUCUUCCUCCAAAAUGUCUUAAACUUUGGGUUCCCAAAUUAGCCUGUCAAAAUCUUGGCAUUUUGUGUGAAAUUGCACUGACUCUAUAGAUCAAUUUGAAGAGAGCUGACAUAUUUACGCUGUCCCUCUCCAUCCCGCCCAGGAUGCGAACUGUCCCUUUAUCCAGCGUAUCCACAAUGUG
rnacentral:lncRNA from 1 species